rnacentral:miRNA from 1 species
UUUCCGACAAUGCGAUCUAGG